rnacentral:rRNA from 1 species
AGUAACACGUGAGUAAUCUGCCCAUGGCUCUGGGAUAACCUGGGGAAACCGAGGCUAAUACCGGAUAUGACGCGUACAGGCAUCUGUUGCGUGUGGAAAGUUUUUCGGCCAUGGAUGGGCUCGCGGCCUAUCAGCUUGUUGGUGGGGUAAUGGCCUACCAAGGCGACGACGGGUAGCCGGCCUGAGAGGGCGAUCGGCCACACUGGGACUGAGACACGGCCCAG